rnacentral:sRNA from 1 species
CAAGGUUCGCGCCGAGCGUAGCGAGACAACGACGCGCAGCGGCGGCCCGAAGGGUGAGGAACGAAGUGACGAGUAAUCCUUCCCCCACCACCA